CGCGGCCUGGUUGGGCUGCCGCGUCCAGAACGCGGCGUUUUUGGUGACGUCGCGCCCGGGAGGGAGUAGUUUGCUCCGGGGCGGCUCGAGCAGCCCGGUUUCACGUGGGCUGUGAACAGAAGCCUGACGUCCAGGCCGCGGCGCCAGACCAAGUCCUUUGGCCUUGCGAGCAGGCUUCGUGAUGGCGGGAGCAAAGCCGUGACUGACUGCGGCCCAUUGAGGCUUACCCCUUAUGGUCUCAGUGGGCCUGGGUCUCCUGACCUAAUGAAAGUGGGAGAAGUAAAAACGAUUGAAAAGAGAGGAAUACGCUGGAAGUUUAAGGAAGCUGAUAGGCAAAAGCAAACAGUAGGGUGGAGCUUGGAAUCAGGUGAUGCUCAUUUUCCUCCACUGUGCACUUUUAUAGUUGGAAACAUCAAUAGCAAGUCUUCGUGGGACCAACGUGGUAACUGUACUUUACCUACAACCCUAAAUUCAUCCUGGUGGGUGUGGUGAUUUGUUGCGGUAUAAUAAGCCUUCAAGAAGGGGAAUGCAGAGACAAAAGAUGAAAGGGAGAAGAGAAACCAAGUAAGUAAAAAUGUUUACUGGUUUCCCAGCUGAUGAGAGCCACCAAAUCCCUCUCCUGAUUUCAUUGCAAGACAAACAGAUUCACAAGGAAGGAAUUGUACUUCUUAGCACUGGACUGAGGCGGUCUUAGCCUGAGCAGCCAAACCCUGCUCAGAAUCUUGGCAAACUUAACUUGAGUUACUUGACCAGCCCUCUCUAUCUUCUCCCCCGACAAAGCCUACAGGCAUUAAACUGCCUCUGAGCAGCUGACCUCAGCCCUACCCUAAGCCACACAAAGCAGCAUUCUCCUCAUUGCCAUGUCACUGGUAAACUCUUCAUUGUGCCAGUGUCAUCAUCUCUGGCAAUUACACUCCUGUUUCUUUCAAAGGGCAGCUUUCACUUUAAUAUACUCCUCUGUCAGAUAGAUUGAUUGAUUGAUUGAUUGAUUUACCAUGAAAAUU
rnacentral:lncRNA from 1 species